CGGAUUGUAGUCUGCAACUCGACUACAUGAAGCUGGAAUCGCUAGUAAUCGCGGAUCAGAAUGCCGCGGUGAAUACGUUCCCGGGUCUUGUACACACCGCCCGUCACACCAUGGGAGUCGAUAACGCCCGAAGUCAGUGACCCAACCUGUAAGGAGGGAGCUGCCGAAGGCGGGAUUGAUAACUGGGGUGAAGUCGUAACAAGGUAGC
rnacentral:rRNA from 1 species